AAAAAGAACUACAUGAAGAUCCCUAACCCAUCAUGGUACUCAGCCUUCACAACCAGAAAGACCAAAUUUUUAUACCCAAAAACAAAAACCAACAACCUAAGAGCUAGUGAACUUAGUAACCGCCUUUGUACCCUCUGAAACGGCGUGCUUAGCAAGCUCACCAGGCAAAACGAGUCUCACAGCAGUCUGAAUCUCCCUAGAAGUAAUGGUAGGCUUCUUGUUAUACCUUGCAAGUCGAGAAGACUCCUGAGCUAGCUUCUCAAAGAUGUCGUUGAUGAAGCUAUUCAUGAUUCCCAUGGCUUUGCUCGAGAUCCCAAUAUCUGGGUGAACCUGUUU
rnacentral:misc_RNA from 1 species